rnacentral:lncRNA from 10 species
CUCCAUUUGUCUCACACUUAACCACAUGCACACACAUUUUCUUGAGAAAGCCAGUGUCUGUGUUCUUCUGCACCUUUUUCCUGGAGUUGAAGCCGAAGCUGUACAUCUCAUUACUCCGGUGCUUAUGUUUUCUCCCUGAAUAUGUAUUUGAACAAUCCCCUCCCGAUCUGUUCUCCUGGGGCAGGAGGGGCAGGCUGCCUUUGCAGAGAGCAGAUGUGAUUUUUCUUUGUCCUUUAUACUCUUCCAUCUCCAAACUCACUCCCAGCUCUUCUCUUUGAACAGGUUUUGACCUGAUGGAUUUGUUCAGUGUGAAGGAAAUCUUGGGGAAGAGAGAGAAUGGCGUGCAGAGUUCUUAUGUACGGAUGGGAUCCUUCCCUGUGGUGCAAAGUACUGAGGAGGUGUUCCCCCAAGGUUUACCUGAUGAAUACGCCUUUGUCACAACCUUCCGGUUCAGGAGAACCUCUCGGAAGGAAGAUUGGUAUAUCUGGCAGGUCAUCGACCAGUACGGCAUCCCACAGGUCUCCAUCCGGCUGGAUGGUGAAAACAAGGCAGUCGAGUACAACGCUGUGGGUGCCAUGAAAGAUGCUGUCAGGGUGGUCUUCCGAGGUUCCCGGGUCAAUGACCUCUUUGACCGGGACUGGCACAAGAUCGCCCUGAGCAUCCAGGCCCAGAACGUCUCCCUGUACAUCGACUGUGCGCUGGUGCAGACACUACCCAUCGAGGAGCGGGAGAACAUUGACAUCCAGGGCAAGACUGUGAUUGGCAAGCGCCUCUACGACAGUGUGCCCAUCGACUUUGACCUACAGCGGAUUGUGAUCUAUUGUGACUCGAGACAUGCAGAACUGGAGACUUGUUGUGAUAUCCCCUCGGGUCCGUGCCAGGUGACUGUGGUGACAGAGCCUCCACCUCCACCGCCACCCCAGCGGCCUCCCACCCCAGGCAGUGAACAGAUUGGGUUUUUGAAGACCAUCAACUGCUCCUGCCCAGCUGGAGAGAAGGGUGAAAUGGGAUUUGCUGGCCCCAUAGGGCUCCCUGGUCCAAAGGUCAGUACAGGCGUGGCAGCGGUGUAGUUUAGAACCUCACUAGUCCUCUGUUUUGCUCUCUGUGUAAGACAAAAGAUGGUAUGUGGGGAUGCUGUCUUGCCAACAUUUUUCCUCAGAGCUUGUUAAAUUAAAAGGAUAAGAGCAAGUGGCAUUAAGUCUGAAACCUGGGAGCCUCUUAACUGC